rnacentral:rRNA from 1 species
UACGUAGGGUGCAAGCGUUGUCCGGAAUUAUUGGGCGUAAAGGGCUCGUAGGCGGUCCAUCGCGUCGGGAGUGAAAAGCUGGGGCUUAACCCCAGUCCUGCUUCCGAUACGGGUGGACUAGAGGUAGGUAGGGGAGAUCGGAAUUCCUGGUGUAGCGGUGAAAUGCGCAGAUAUCAGGAGGAACACCGGUGGCGAAGGCGGAUCUCUGGGCCAGUAUUGACGCUGAGGAGCGAAAGCGUGGGGAGCGAACAGG